GCCUUACACAUGCAAGUCGAACGGCAGCAUGAUCUAGCUUGCUAGAUUGAUGGCGAGUGGCGAACGGGUGAGUAAUACAUCGGAACGUGCCCUGUAGUGGGGGAUAACUAGUCGAAAGAUUAGCUAAUACCGCAUACGACCUGAGGGUGAAAGUGGGGGACCGCAAGGCCUCAUGCUAUAGGAGCGGCCGAUGUCUGAUUAGCUAGUUGGUGAGGUAAAGGCUCACCAAGGCGACGAUCAGUAGCUGGUCUGAGAGGACGAUCAGCCACACUGGGACUGAGACACGGCCCAGACUCCUACGGGAGGCAGCAGUGGGGAAUUUUGGACAAUGGGCGAAAGCCUGAUCCAGCAAUGCCGCGUGUGUGAAGAAGGCCUUCGGGUUGUAAAGCACUUUUGUCCGGAAAGAAAUGGCUCUGGUUAAUACCUGGGGUCGAUGACGGUACCGGAAGAAUAAGGACCGGCUAACUACGUGCCAGCAGCCGCGGUAAUACGUAGGGUCCAAGCGUUAAUCGGAAUUACUGGGCGUAAAGCGUGCGCAGGCGGUUGUGCAAGACCGAUGUGAAAUCCCCGAGCUUAACUUGGGAAUUGCAUUGGUGACUGCACGGCUAGAGUGUGUCAGAGGGGGGUAGAAUUCCACGUGUAGCAGUGAAAUGCGUAGAGAUGUGGAGGAAUACCGAUGGCGAAGGCAGCCCCCUGGGAUAACACUGACGCUCAUGCACGAAAGCGUGG
rnacentral:rRNA from 1 species